AUUGAACGCUGGCGGCAGGCCUAACACAUGCAAGUCGAACGGUAGCACAGAGAGCUUGCUCUCGGGUGACGAGUGGCGGACGGGUGAGUAACGUCUGGGAAACUGCCCGAUGGAGGGGGAUAACUACUGGAAACGGUAGCUAAUACCGCAUAACGUCGCAAGAACAAAGUGGGGGAACUUCGGGCCUCACACCAUCGGAUGUGCCCAGAUGGGAUUAGCUAGUAGGGGGGGUAAUGCCUCACCUAGGCGACGAUCCCUAGCUGGCCUGAGAGGAUGACCAGGCACACGGGAACUGGGACACGGUGCAGACUCCAACGGGAGGCGGAGGUGGGGAAUAUUGCACAAUGGGCGCAAGCCUGAUGCAGCCAUGCCGCGUGUAUGAAGAAGGCCUUCGGGUUGUAAAGUACUUUCAGCGGGGAGGAAGGCGGUGAAGUUAAUAGCUUAACCGAUUGACGUUACCCGCAGAAGAAGCACCGGCUAACUCCGUGCCAGCAGCCUCGGUAA
rnacentral:rRNA from 1 species